UACGUAGGGGGCAAGCGUUGUCCGGAUUUAUUGGGCGUAAAGAGCGUGUAGGCGGCUUUACAGGUCCGUUGUGAAAACUCGAGGCUCAACCUCGAGACGCCGGUGGAAACCGUAAGGCUAGAGUCCGGAAGAGGAGAGUGGAAUUCCUGGUGUAGCGGUGAAAUGCGCAGAUAUCAGGAGGAACACCCGUGGCGAAAGCGGCGCGCUGGACCACUACUGACGCUGAGGAACGAAAGCUAGGGGAGCAAACAGG
rnacentral:rRNA from 1 species